GGCUAGCACGCCCGACGUUCUCACGCCAGCCUGUGUCUCUCAGGCCAACUGUGCAGACUGCGUUUUCGAGUGAAUUCUCCUGUCGGGGCCCUAAACGACAUCAUGCUCACACAGGCCUUCCUCUGCAUUAGGGAGAGUGCUGCUUUGCUCUGGUUGAAAUCCAUCAUUUGAUGGACAGACACGGUGUUUUCAUUCCCUGGCUGUUGGAAUAGGAUAGCAGUGAACAUGGAUGACCAGGCCUCUCUAUAACAGACUACAGAAUCAUGGAUGACCAGGCCUCUCUACAGCAGAAUACAGAAUCAUGGAUGACCAGGCCUCUCUACAGCAGAAUACAGAAUCAUGGAUGACCAGGCCUCUCUACAGCAGAAUACAGAAUCAUGGAUGACCAGGCCUCUCUAUAACAGAAUACAGAAUCAUGGAUGACCAGGCCUCUCUAUAACAGAAUACAGAAUCAUGGAUGACCAGGCCUCUCUACAGCAGAAUACAGAAUCAUGGAUGGCCAGGCCUCUCUACAGCAGAAUACAGAAUCAUGGAUGACCAGGCCUCUCUAUAACAGAAUACAGAAUCAUGGAUGACCAGGCCUCUCUAUAACAGAAUACAGAAUCAUGGAUGGCCAGGCCUCUCUAUAACAGAAUACAGAAUCAUGGAUGGCCAGGCCUCUCUACAGCAGAAUACAGAAUCCCAAAGGGCUAAAGGGAAAGGUUGUAACAGGAAGGGAAGGGAGGACAGGGUGGAGAAGGGAAUAUGGAAAGGAGUAAUCAUGCCAAAGACCUUUUUGAGAAAGUCAUGGAAACUGACUGUAGACGCUUCCUUACCUCUAGUUUGCUCUCUACUUCCAUGGCCGUCACUCACAACUGAAAGCAUUUGGAGAAAGGUUUUGUUUUAUCCUACAUAGCCAUGCCGUACCCGGUCACUGAGGGAAGUCAGGGCAGGAACUGUGUAGCAGGGGCCGUGGAGGAAGGGUGUUCUCUGGCUCGCCUCAGGCUCACACCCCGCCACCUUUCUUGUAUUCCCACUGCCCACAUUGACUGGGCCCUUGUGCAAGCAGUCACUGAGACAUUACCGUGGGCCACAGCUAUCACAAGAGAAAGCAUUUAACUAGACGCUUGCUCAGUUUUAAGGUUAUCACCAUGACAGGAAGCAUGACAGCAUCUAAGCAGACUCUGGAGCAAUGGCUGAGAACUACAUCCUGGUUUGUACACAAAGGGAAAAGAAACUGGGCAUGGCACAGGAUUUGAAAUCUCAAGGCCAUCCCCAGUGACACACUUCCUGUCACAGGGCCACAUCUCUUAAUCCUUCUGACCCUUUCAAAAAGCACCACUCCUUGGUGACUGAACUUUCAAAUGUCUGAGCCCGUGGGGGCCAUCUUAUUCCAACAACCACACAGUGUGUGAGCACAAGGCAGGUCCACAGACAAAAGGCAGCUCCACGGACGCACUCAAAGCAGCCGCACCAGCCCAAGCCUGUGCAGACUCCAGCACACGACUCCACUCUUAGCCAAGGAACGGUUGUCAGCUGGUAGCCUAUGGAAGUGUACCAUACUCCACUGGAAGGCCACACAUCCAAGAAUAUUUGGGCAGCAAAAAUUGGCCUUGAAGGGUUUCUUGUUGUUUUACACAAAGCUGGGUGGAUCUGGAAGGAGUUUGGGGAGCAAGGCAAAAAUGGCGAAAGGAGAUGCCAUGUUCUCAAAGAAAACUCACAAUGAUGCAUACACUUUAAUAGUGAAGUCGGCAGACCUGAACCUCUUACCCCUCCACAAAAGGGCAGCACAGAGUUAAGUCGAGCUCUUGCAGCAGGUUCCACCCUGUGCUUGCUUCUGCAGCAUUUCCCCGACGGACAUUUAAGAUGAGGAAGUCUGUGGACUUUUUUUUUAAAGAUUUAUUUAUUUAUUAUAUAUGAGUACACUGCAGCUGUCUUCAGACACCAGAAGAGGGCAUCAGAUCUCAUUACAGAUGCUUGUGAGCCACCAUGUGGCUGCUGGGAAUUGAACUCAGGACCUCAGGAAGAGCAGUCGGUACUCUUAACCACUGAGCCACCUCUCCAGCCUAUCUGUGGACUUUUUAAACCCAAGCUAACACUGACACAUGGCAUGGACUGCAGCCUGCAAAAGGAGAGAGAGCUCCCUGAUGACCCCAAGACUUUCUGGUUUUGACUCCCCAGUCCUUUUAGAUGAUGGCAUGGUUUCACUAUUGUGUUCAGAAUGUACAGAUAUAUACGAGUGUUUUUUGUUUUUUGGGUUUUUUUUUUUGAUAGGGUACACCUGGACAGUAAAAUCUAUUGUCUUUUAAAGAUGUAUGUAGUUUUUAUAGACUCCCAGUGUGUCUCUUAAAGAUGUGAACACCAUCACAUGUCAAGCGGUAGCAGCCCUUCUCUCCUAGCUCUGGGUCUUACAUUUGACCAUAGUAAUGGACCAGGCACCUCAGUUAGCUGUAUAGAACCAGGGCCUGCAUGGAGCUGUGUAACAAGUAUACCGCAAGCUUUACAGAGCCAGGAGUUCCAACACAUCUUAAGUUUCUUUUCCACAGAGAACCAAAUAGGGAAAGGCCAUGUCAUGCGGUCAGUCAAGUUUUAAAUCAUUAUGAAAAACGGCUUUAGCUAUUAUCAAUGAUUCCAAAAGUCGAUGUAAUUGAGAGUAGUGAUGGAUUUGGGUGUGCCCAAGGAAAAGAAAAUUGCCUAUAAUAUUAGGAAGUUCAAGAUAACCAUCUGUGGCUUGAUGGAGGGGGUAUAACAUAAAGAUAUAUGAAGCCAUUUGUAAAACUAAUUUCUCUUUCCAUUUAAUCUCUCGUUGCCUCAGAAAAUGCGGCUAGUAAUUAAGACACCAUUUUGGUGUUGCUUGUAAAUGCUGUCGCCUCCAUUAAACUUCACACUUGUGAAAAGGAGCCAUUAAAAGCCAG
ensembl:lncRNA